rnacentral:rRNA from 1 species
UACGUAGGGACCAAGCGUUGUUCGGAUUUACUGGGCGUAAAGGGCGCGUAGGCGGCUUGACAAGUCACUUGUGAAAUCUCUGGGCUUAACCCAGAACGGCCAAGUGAAACUGUUGAGCUAGAGUGUAGAAGGGGCAAUCGGAAUUCUUGGUGUAGCGGUGAAAUGCGUAGAUAUCAAGAGGAACACCUGAGGUGAAGGCGGGUUGCUGGUCUAACACUGACGCUGAGGCGCGAAAGCCAGGGGAGCAAACAGG